GGGUCGUUAGCUCAGUUGGUAGAGCAGUUGACUUUUAAUCAAUUGGUCGCAGGUUCGAAACCUGCACGACCCA
rnacentral:tRNA from 1 species